UACGUAGGGGGCAAGCGUUGUCCGGAUUUAUUGGGCGUAAAGAGCUCGUAGGCGGUUCGACAAGUCGAAUGUGAAAUCUCCACGCUCAACGUGGAGGGGUCAUUCGAAACUGUCGUGACUUGAGUACGGUAGGGGAGUGUGGAAUUCCCGGUGUAGCGGUGAAAUGCGCAGAGAUCGGGAGGAACACCCGUAGCGAAGGCGGCACUCUGGGCCGAUACUGACGCUGAGGAGCGAAAGCGUGGGGAGCAAA
rnacentral:rRNA from 1 species